rnacentral:rRNA from 1 species
ACUCCUACGGGAGGCAGCAGUAGGGAAUCUUCCACAAUGGGCGAAAGCCUGAUGGAGCAACGCCGCGUGGGUGAAGAAGGUCUUCGGAUCGUAAAACCCUGUUGUUAGAGAAGAAAGUGCGUGAGAGUAACUGUUCACGUUUCGACGGUAUCUAACCAGAAAGCCACGGCUAACUACGUGCCAGCAGCCGCGGUAAUACGUAGGUGGCAAGCGUUAUCCGGAUUUAUUGGGGCGUAAAGGGAACGCAGGCGGUCUUUUAAGUCUGAUGUGAAAGCCUUCGGCUUAACCGGAGUAGUGCAUUGGAAACUGGGGACUUGAGUGCAGAAGAGGAGAGUGGAACUCCAUGUGUAGCGGUGAAAUGCGUAGAUAUAUGGAAGAACACCAGUGGCGAAAGCGGCUCUCUGGUCUGUAACUGACGCUGAGGUUCGAAAGCGUGGGUUGCAAACAGGAUUAGAUACCCUGGUAGGAUAGCG